CGCGGCGUCCCAGAGCCGCAGGGGCAGCUGUGAGCUUACCCUGAGGCCUGACCGCCACCUUCAAGAUGAGGAGUGUCAAGACAAGGUUACACAGACCUAAAGAGCUACUUGGCUUUUAUUGGAGUCCGAAAAUAAAAUGUGCAUUGGCAAUGAGCAGAGCAGAGGAGGUGGAAGAGAGCUCUGCUUACCGUGCUCCCUGCCAGAUAAGCACACAAGAUGAUCAACACUGGCAAACCAAGAGAGACCUUCACCAAAAACCUGAGGAUGUCUGCUCCUUGCUCUUGGGGUUCCUGCCUUCAGAAUUGUGAGAAAUAUAUGUUUUCUAUUUAAGCCACCCAGUCUCUGGUAUUAUAUUACUGAAAACUGAGCUAGUGAUACUGGUCCUUUAGAGAUCAGGAAUAGGUCCUUAUUCCCCAGAAGUUUAAAUACCCAAGAAAUGGUGAGUCUAUCAUAGAAAGCAAGUUUUAUUUAAGAAAGAGACAGAGACAGACUUCUCUGAAGAGAAGGGGCCCCAGAGCUGGUAUCCAUAGGAAGGGGUGCAUCUUGCUCUUUUAUAGACCUCAGAACCCCUCUUUUUGAUUUAUUAUCUUCUUUCUUCCUGAGAGCAGGGACAUGGAGGUUAAUUGUUAGCAACCCGAGUGCCCAGGAACAUGAUGGCAGAGGUUAACACUUCUCUGUUUGAUAGCCAGUCCUCAUCCUCUCUCCACCCCUUUCAUUCCUUACCUACACUGACUGCCUGACCUUCAACCCUGCCCCAGUUUGUUGAAGAAUUAACAUGUCCUGUCCACUCAGGCCAGGCAGGGCUACAGGCAAAUUGCUUUGGGGUAAAGGAAGCUUAUGAGGGUCAGCACAGUGAGCCCAUUUUAUACUCAUGUUCCCAACAUUCUCAUCAAUCUGUCUCCUUACACCAGGACACAAGGUGGACAUUCCCAAGGAACAUGUGACUGCAGCUCUUCUUUCUGCAGACCUUGUGCAGUCUCCCUUUGGCUAGAAGGAGCACUGUUCUUUAGGGAAGCAGUUUGUGAAUACCUCUUAAGUUAGAGAAGCCCAGAAAGUCUGAAAAACAAGGUUCUGUGAGGGUUUUCCAUAUUUCCCUUAGCCCAGGACUGUCCUAGUUUUAAAACUAAGUCCCCUGUCUUAGGAAACCCCUCAGUCCCUAGCCAACCAGCAGAAAUGACCAGAAUUCUCUCUAGCCUCAUGAAAUAAUGGGAAUAAAUAAGAUUUUCAUAAUGAACUGCCAAGGGCCAGACAGGUGCAGGGCAGAGGAGGCUGGGAGCAGAGCUGCUUGGCCCUGCCGCCAUCUCAGGAGGAUGGUGCAUUCUGCAACUAUGUUUUCUUCAGGUUCAAGGUCGUUCCUCCCACCUGAUCCCAUCAGUUGAAGAUCUGUUAUGUGUAAAAUAGUGUGGCACUUAUUCAGGUUUGAAUCUAUCUCUAAUGGAUAGGAACCCCAAAUCCCUGCAUCUAAUGAGCAUUCAGUGGCGGAUCUGAAAGGAGCUGUCUGUUGAACACACCUCCCUCCUUCCUUCUUUGCUGUCUUUUCCUUCCUUUCUCCCUUCCACUCACUAUCUGUUCCAGAUACUGUGGUAAAUGAUAGGGAUUAAACUGAAAUUGCUUCUGUCUUGAGAAGAUUAAGUUAAAAACACUGCCUUUUGUACCUGAGGUCCAAAUUUUGAAGGAAAAAAAAUGCCCAUGAGUUGCAGUGUUUUUUCUUUCAAAAUGAAAAUGUCUUUAUUCAAGCUCCCUGGGAAGAGUUCCACUCCCACCCUUGUUGAAUGAAGCUUGCCACUGAGCAAGCCCUUUAGCCACCAGCCUCUCAACAGUCCACAUGUCUAACAUGGGAAGAGCUAACACUCACAUAGUGCUUCCUGGUGUGCCAGGCUUGGUUCUAAGAACAUUAGAGAUUAUAUUGUGUGUGUUUUUUUUUAAUCAGAAAGUUUGCUAUAUAUGGAGAAACCAAGGCAUGGAGAGGUUAGUGUCCAAAGCUGGCAUUAUCCAUCCAUCCAGGUAUGUACCUAUCACCACAUUCAUCCAUCUAAUCAUCCAUCCAUCCAUCAACACAUCCUUCUAUUCACCUAUUCAUCCAUCCAUCCAUUCACCCAUUCAUCCAUCCGUCCACCCACCCAUCUAUCCAUUCACACAUCCAUCCAUCCACCCACCCAUCCAUCCAUUCAUACAUCCAUCCACCCACCCAUCCAUCCAUUCACCCAUCCAUCCAUUCACCCAUUCAUGCAUCCAUGUAGAAGCAUAUACAAACACAGAUGUUUCUCAUGCACACGUGUCCCAAUACACCCUUAGGACAAGUAUAAAAUAUCCUAAAUCAAAAAUGCACUUACUACAUAACCUACAGAACACCCCAGCUGAGCAGCAUAGUGCACGUGGGGUGUCAUUUGUUGGCCCCUCAUGAUGGCAGGGCUGACUGGGAGCUGCUGCUCACGGUUGCUGCCCGGCAUCCAGAGUAUUGGAAUGUAUAUUGCUAUUCUGGGAAAAGAUCCAAAUUCAGAAUUUGGAAGAAUCUUUUCUGCUGAGUGUGUAUCAUGUUCACACUGUUGUAAGUGGAAAUGCUGUGAAUUGAAGCCCCCGAAGUCCAGGACCACCGUGUGCGUGUGUAUGCAGUUCAGACUCAGGCUUGGGCCGCAGCCUCUCUCCUCCAGCGUCUGCAGUGUGCUUCUGUUUAUUGAUGUACAUUUUACUCUUGUCCUGAAAGUAGAUCAGGGGCAAUAUCAUGAGGCAGGAGGGGUUGUUGGGGACUGCAGACACGGUUCGCUGGGCAAUUUUCCCUCUUCCAGGAAAACCAGAAUCAUAUUACACAGGGAUAAGAGGGCGAAAGCAGCUCUUUUAAUAGCUGUGAGAGCAGACAUCACACAGGGCCUCUCUUGGCCUGAUUGUAAUCGAGCUAUCCUCCCCAGGGCUUUCCAGAAUCAUAAUUACUAUCACAUAGGGCCUUUUGUCAGCUUUUCAUCACUGUGACCAUAGUACCUGGAUAUAGCAACUUGAAGCAGGAGAGUUAUUUUGGCUCGUGGUUUCAGUCUACGCUCCACCAACUCUAUUGCUCUGGGCGUAAGGUGAGCAGAGCUUCAUGAGUGUGGAGGAAGCUGCUCAGCUCAUGGCAGUGGGGAGUGGCUCAGGGAGGAGGAAAAGCGUAGGAGAAGGGGCUGGAGAAGGGGAGCCUUCUGGGGUGCUCCCCAUGGCUGGCUUCCUGCAGAGAGGCCCCCCCUCCCAUCCCAGACAGGCAGUGCACUUUGAUCCUGUCCUGGGCCAAACCUUGUUGUCCCUCCUAACACCAUGUGUGGUCUGAAACCGGGUUGGGUGGAUAUGUGAUGUCAACUGUGGCACACUAACAAAUUACCUGGGGCAUUUUAGGGCAAGGUUGCUCAUCUUCCAUGUGGAGAAGCCCCCGUGGGCUAGUGAAACUGGAUUUCUAUCACCCCAGGGUGAGAGAGGGCUAGUUUUCCUAGAGAUGUGGACAGACAGAAAAUCUCUUUUCUUAAGGUCCCUACCUCCAGCCCCUCACCUGGUUUCAUAAGGAGGCUCCAAGCUGAGGCAAGAGCAGCACAGAGCUGCAAAAGAGCCUGGGCACACCAUCCUGCCUGCAGCCUGGGCACCCCACCUGUGGUUGCCUGGCCAGUCCUUCCAUUUGAAGAUCUCAGGUCGCUGGGGCUGCCCUGCCUGAGGCAACCCUGAAAGAUGCUGAGUGCCACCCACCCUGGUACAAGGCCACAGGAAGGUGCUGGCCAGGGGCACAGCCAGCCUUGGCUGCCUGGAGCUGCAGCUUGGAACAGGACAGACAGAAUGCCCCACGCCACUUCCUGGGCCUAUGCACAUUUUUUCUGCUCCAAAGGCUCACUGCCACGCCAUCUUCCCUCCCUGCCACAACCUCCUUGCUCCUGACCCAGAACAGGCCGAGAAUCCCUGAUGGGUGCUCUUAGUUUCCUGAGUGCUCUUAGUUUCCUGAACUUCUCGUUUGUUUCUCUCAUCAUGGUUGUAAUUGAAUGAUGACAUCUGAGUUUGUUUUGUGACUUUGUCCUCUGGAAUGAAGACUCUAUGGAGGAACUAGCUCAGGGUUAUUCACCAAUGAGUCCCUAGCCUACAGGCAUUUGGUUUGCUAAGUAAAUAAAUUUCUAAACUCAGUACUUCAUUUCUCAGCGAGACUCUUUACAAAUCCCGGAGAAGUGCAAGUGACAAAGGCAGCACUGGGAACCCUUUUGCUGUGACACCCCACACAGCUACCUCUUCCACCCUCAGAGUGAGGAGCAGCCCUUGGGUAAGAAAGCGACACUGACUGAAUCAAUUGGGUCACUCCACGGGAGUUUGGGCUGACUAAAUAGACACAGACAUAGAAAGUACCUUUUUCUUUCGGUUCAGUGACCAUUCCUCAGCCACAGCUCCCACAAGGGGGGCAAGGCAAGCAAGAAAGAGGGAGCACGCCUCGAACCCAGGUUUUACUAAUGGGGGAAGCUAAUCUAUGGAACAUUCCAUCCAAAAAAGGGCACAGGGGUAGGAUUACAACAGAGGGGAGGGUGUCACUCAACCCAAUCAGGUGACGCCCACUCCCUGAGCUGCAUCUUCUUAUCCAAGCAGAGGUAAAGUUCACCUGUAGUGCAAUGGCUGCGAUACCAGUCCAGUAUCUCUUUACUCAGGACUUAACAGUGUGUCCACAGCUCCUGUCCAGAGUGGCUCCUGACAAGGUAUGGCUGGUUCUUACCUGCCCAUGCUUCUCCCCUGCAGAACACAUACUCAAUGCAUGUAACAGUUAUUUAAUGAUACAAUAAAAUCUGCCCAGAAUCAAUACAGAGAGCACUCACAUCCAUCAGAUGGCUACUGUCAAGACUAACAACAGAAACAGAAAAUAAGUACUAAUGAGGAUGUGGAGAAAUCAGGACCCUGCGCUCUCAUAGGAUCCUCGUGAGCUCUAUAUGCGGGAGGUGAGCUGGCGCGGCUUAUAUCCUGUUAGUAUGCAAGAUCUCCUUCCUCUCCAGGUCUGCUCUUACAAAUUGUUAAAAAAAUAAAAAUAAAAACAGUUGUUUUUCCCUGCGUGGUUGUCCACAGUCUGGGAUUUGGUGACCCACACACCAAGGCUGUGAGGGAAUCAACACAUUAUAAAAUCAUACUCUAAUCCUAGUGGGAAUUCCAGGAAGGAGACUGAGAGUGGGGGAAGGAACCAAGAGAAGAUGGCCCAAGAACCCCGGUUGCAGAUAUGGCAACAGAGUGGCAGGGGGCUUGGGUUCACAGGGUGCCUCAGGUUGCUAGAAAAACACAGGUGAGCCACAGAGAACAUUUUUAGCAUGAGUAUGUCCCAUUUAAUAUUUGGGAUGUACUAAAUAAUUAUUCAUGGUUGGUCUAAAAUUCAAAUUAACUAAGAGUGUUUUGUUGGCUAAAGGCAGCAGCCCUAAGGGUGCUCGUCACCUCUUCCGUCCAACUUCCCAGCUGGUACCAUGAGGAAAUUGAGCCACAGAGCACCCAAGGGCUCCUUGAGUCUCAGAUUCUGUGUUUGAGAUGCAAUUAGGAGAAGGGAAAGCAACACCUAAGAACAUCAGAAAGAAAAAGGGGGAAAGAAUGGUCAUAGGUAAUGGGAAACUUGGCUAUCAUCUCCACGGUUGGAACUGACCGGGAGGAUGGCUGAAUUCUUCUCUUUCCAGGUAGUAAUGCGAGUAUGUGCAGAGCUAGCUUCAAGUUGAAAGGCAAGGUCAGCAUGGAAUUCUGCAGGGGAUUCUGGAGCUUCCUGGCUUGCCAUAGCAAUGCAGCUGCAUUUGGAAUGGCAGCUGCAAUGGGUGGGUGUGAGGUGGUGCAUCAGAUGGUGGGUCUGAAGCCCCUGGGUCCAGAAUUUCUGGGCUGUUCCUGUGUCCUCUGGAUUGCAGCAUCUGAGCAUCUGCAGACUGGACAGGGAUAAAAAUGACGUCAACAAUGCUCAUGACCUUGAAGCCUGGAGUCCCUUUUAGAAGACUGAAAACUAAUCUACCUCAUGGCCGCCUACUAUAAUUAAAAAACAACUUAUAAUUAA